rnacentral:lncRNA from 1 species
UAGAGUUUGGUUAGGAUUGCAUUUAGGAUUUAGGGUUUGAUUUAGGGUUUGGUUAAGGUUUGAUUUAGGAUUUGAUUAGAAUUUAGUUUAGGAUUUAGGAUUUAGUUUAAGGUUUAGAGUUUGAUUAGGAAUUGAUUUAAGGUUAGGAUUUGGUUAGGAUUUGAUUUAGAGUUUAAGAUUUGGUUUAAGAUUUGGUUAGGGUUUGAAUUAGGAUUUGAUUAGGAUUUGAUUUAGAAUUUGGUUAGGAUUUGAUUUAGAAUUUAGGAUUUGGUUUAAGGUUUAGGAUUUGACUUAGAAUUUAGGAUUUGGUUUAGGAUUUAAGGUUUAGUUAGGAUUUGAUUUAAGGUUUAAGAUUUGAUUUAGGAUUUAAGAUUUUAUUAGGGUUUGUUUAGGAUUUAAGAUUUAAUUAGUUUUGGCCUAAAGUUUGAAUGAAGUCCAAUAGAAUUUUAACUAGGAUUAAAUUAAGAUUGAAUUGAGAUAUAUUUGAAAUAUUUUGUGAUGAUUCUAAUAUUUCUUUAAGAUUUUUUAUUGUUUCUUUGAAAUUUCUUUGAGGUUUCUUUGAAUUUGAUUAAAACUUGCUUAGUAUUAUUAUGGUCUAAUUAGAGUUUAGUUAGUAUUCUAUUAGAGUUAGGAUUUUGUUGUUUGCAUUUUCCAUUCU